AUACUAGGGGGCAAGCGUUAUCCGGAAUUACUGGGUGUAAAGGGUGAGUAGGUGGUUUCUUAAGUCAGGAGUGAAAGGCUACGGCUCAACCGUAGUAAGCUCUUGAAACUGGGAAACUUGAGUGCAGGAGAGGAAAGUGGAAUUCCUAGUGUAGCGGUGAAAUGCGUAGAUAUUAGGAGGAACACCAGUAGCGGAGGCGGCUUUCUGGACUGUAACUGACACUGAGGCACGAAAGCGUGGGGAGC
rnacentral:rRNA from 1 species